AUUGAACGCUGGCGGUAUGCUUAACACAUGCAAGUCGAACGAUGAGAAAGAGCUUGCUCUUUCGAUUAGUGGCGGACGGUUGCGUAACGAGUAGGCAUCUACCUAUUAGUUGGGACAACAUAGGGAAACUUAAGCUAAUACCGCAUACGCCCUACGGGGGAAAGAAGGGGAUCGCAAGACCUUUUGCUAAUAGAUGAGCCUGCGUAGGACGAGCUAGUUGGGGGGGUAAAAUCUCACCAAGGCGACGAUCCUUAACUGGUUUGAGACAAUGAUCAGUCACACUGGAACUGAGAACCAGUCCAGACCCCUACGGGAAGCAGCAGUGGGGAAUAUUGGACAAUGGGCGAAAGCCUGGUCCAGCAAUACCUCGUGUGUGAAGAAGGCCUUAGGGUUGUAAAGCACUUUCGAUUGGAAGGAAAUCCUCGAAGCUAAUUCCUGCGAGUUUGACAUUACCUUUAGAAGAAGCACCGGCUAACUCCGUGCCAGCAGCCGCGGUAAUAC
rnacentral:rRNA from 1 species